AAAUUGAAGAGUUUGAUCAUGGCUCAGAUUGAACGCUGGCGGCAGGCCUAACACAUGCAAGUCGAACGGUAACAGGAAAAAGCUUGCUUUUUUGCUGACGAGUGGCGGACGGGUGAGUAAUGUCUGGGAAACUGCCUGAUGGAGGGGGAUAACUACUGGAAACGGUAGCUAAUACCGCAUAACGUCGCAAGACCAAAGAGGGGGACCUUCGGGCCUC
rnacentral:rRNA from 1 species